AUGAAGCAGAAAAAGGAAACGUGUAAGGCGAGGAAAAGGGCGGCGAGAGAAAACCUGCUCCCUUCGAGGGACGUACCCACCCAACCUGGCGCACAAGCUACCUUUCGGGCACUUUCCACCCAGCCGCCUUCACCGCCAGUACCGCAGAAGCCGGAGGCUGGACCGCGGCAAGGAGGGAUCCCCCAGGGGAGCAGGCCGCGCCUGCCAAGUAACCAGGGAGUCGGGAAAGGGAGUCUUCCUAGUCCAGUCCGCGCCCGAGGGACUUGCCUAGGACGUGGUCCGCUCCUCCUCCCUCCCCGCAGCCCGGGAAGUCGUUGCGAGGCCGGUGCCCCAGCUCCAGGACAGCAGAGAAGUUUCGCCGCUGCAAACGCUGAAGAUGGUACUCAAAACCAAACCAAACUAAACCGACCUGACAGCUGUGUGAGGAGUGAGCUUCCGUCUCUCGUCCUACAGGGGAUUCAACCCUCAGCUUUGGGGUCCAUGGGGAGGAAGUGGGGCAUGGGAGGCCAUGUUCAAGGACAGAGCCAGCUUCAGGCAGGGUCACUCAGGAUGGACGGCAGACACAGUGGCCCGCAGAGUCCAGGGAGGGCGACCUGGGUUCCGGAGGAAGCAUCAACGAGAGUUCUCACCUCUGGGUUUUCAUGGUACUUGUACAUUCUGCCUAUUAAAAUGGAUGUGAGAAUGCCUAACACACAAUGUCACUAUAAGGGAUACACAAAAUCCGAGUGCCUAGAACAGUGCCUGCCAUACAACAUGAAGUACACUUAUCACAUUGUGGCGUAUUUGUUUACUUGUUUAUCUUCCCCUCUGCAUUUUGGAUGACCUUUUUUUCUUUUCUUUUCUUUUCUUUUUUUUUUGAGAUGAGAGUCUUGCUAAGUUGUCCAGUCUGGCCUUGAACCCAUGAUCCAAAGUAGAUGGAAUCUCAGGCACACACCUCCAAGCCUGGCUCCUUCUUGCAUUUUAUGUUCCUUCUACCUGGAAUAUAGUAGAUACUCAGUACUUGUUUAUUUAAUUCAUCAAUCAAUACUUGUCCCACCCUUACCUUGACCCCCCUUCCACUGCUGGUCAAGAGUGUAUACUCUUUGGGGGCCAGGGAUUUAGCUCAGUGGUUUUGCCACCUGCUGCGCAAGCGCAAGGACCCGAGUUCGAUCCCUAGUACAAAAAAAAAAAAAAAAAAGAGUAUACUCUUUGCUCCCUCCUCUGCUUUCUGGACUGAAAUUCAAACUCCAAAUGAAAGUAGCUGGAUAAAAAGCUGAUACUUCCCUUCCUGGAAAAACCAGAGUUUUCUCUGCAAAUGCAGCAUGAAGAGGCUGGGGGAGCACAAGCUCUGGGUGGCUGUUUCUGAGUCUUUUGUGGAGACGUGGUGUGUUUAAAUUAAAGCCAGAUUCCAAGGUGCUAUUUAUACUCCAAGAAUUUUUAAAAACAGAAAACAUCAGUCUUCCUGAUGGUCUUCAAGUGAGUGAGAAUGAAAGGCAUUCUGAAGGUCAGAAACAGAGAGAGGAUUGAGGAAGGGAGAAAGAAAGAUGGAGGGGGCUGGGGAUGUAGCUCAGUGGUUUCACCGCCCGCUGUGCAAGCGCAAGGACCCAAGUUCGAUCCCCAGUACCAAAAAAAAUGAAAAAAAGAAAGAAAGAGGAAGGCAAGGAAGAAAGGAAGGGAGAGAGGAAGGGUAAGGGAAAGAAAGGAGUGAGAAAAGGAAGAGGAGAAAGAAAAACUGAAAGCUGAAAGAAUGAAUUUAAAAGCAGACACAUGCCAAGCAUGGUGACACAAGUCUGUAAUCCCAGCACUUAGGAGGCUGAGGCAGGAGGAUCACUAUGAGUUCAAGGCCAGCCUGGGCUACAUAGGGAGUUUACAACCAGCCUGAAUUAGAGUGAGACUCUGACUCAAAGAACCUUAAAAAAAUAAAUAAAUAAAAGCAGGCUCAUGGAGGUUCUAGUCAAAUACCAUAUAAUCAAUUGAACACACAAUUUUAUCUUUCUUUCCUCUUAACCCUCCAUUAAAAUGACCGUAAACCUUCAAGGACAGAGAGAAUGCAAAAACAUCAACUGUCAGAGUUGAUGAAACAGAAAAGCUAUGGUAAAUGAGUGGAAGCUAAACACUUGGAAAAGCCCAGGUCUGCUGGGAGGAGAUCACGGGAAACUGGGAAGGGAUGGGGAGGUUUGGGUGGAGUUGAAAACAGGAAGACCAAGAGCUUGCCUGAGGUGGAAGAUGAAGCCUGGAAGAGUGGAAAGGAAAAGCCCAAGGCUUAGGACCAGGGUCAGAAACAAGACAAUUUACUAACAACAGGACGAUGGAGUUGUGAAAACCUGCAUGAUGAACAGCAGUGCCUGUAAUGCCAGCACUCUGGGAAGCCGAGGUAGGAGAAUCACAAGUUAGACAACUUAGUGAGAUUCUGUUUUGUUUUGGUACCUGGGAUCGAACUCGAGUUCUUGUGCUUUUGUGCAGCAGGCGGCGAAACCACUGAGCUAAAUCCCUGGCCCGAGAUUCUGUUUUAAAAUAAGAAAUUUAGUAGGGCAGUAGGGUUGAGAAUGAAGCUCAGUGUGAAUGCUGAUUCCUUCCCUGUCCCAGGCAGGAAUGUGGAGGGGUAAUCUUGGGGAAAACAGUCCAGCUCAAGAGAAAAACCAAAGUCAGAAAAGUAUCUCCAGGGCAAUGGAUGUUGUGCAACCCACUUGUCCUCAAACCUCUCACUGGACUAGAUACUUUCAGACAGGGUUCCAGCACCUCACUCAUACACCAAUCCUGAGGACAACCAGACAUUCCAAGGACUCCUCCACCACACAGUGGACCAGAACAAACCUUGGGGGAGAGAGGGUAACCAGGAAGAAACAGAGCCAAUGGAAGGAGAGUCGGGAAACAGCUACUAUCACACUGAAGUAAAAGAAUAUACUGCAUUUACUUUCAAAUAACAAUAAUUCAGGGCUCAGGUGGAGCUCAGUGGUAAGAAUGUGUACUUAGUAUACCUGAGGAUCUGAGCUCAAGUUCAAUGUUCAGUACCAAAAAAUGUAUAUACUAUUAGUCAGCUUUCUUACUGCAGAGACAAAAUACCUGACACCUGCAUCUUAAAGGAGAAAAGAAUUAUCUUGGCUCGUGGAUUCAGAGGUUUCAGUCCAUGGUAGGCUGGCUCCAAGGAAGAAACGUCAUGGCAGAGGGUAUGGCGCAGGAAAGCUGCUCACGUCAUGGCAUCCAGGAAUCAAAGAACAGAGGAAGAGCCAGAGAGGAAGGGGUGAGGACUAGAUGUAGUCUCCAAGACCAGAACCCCAUGACUCACUCAGACACACCCAGAAGUGUGCCUUACUCAUUUCCUAAGCAUCUCUCUGGCCAAUCAGAUUGAUAAUCAGAAUUAGUCAUCACACACACACACACACACACACACACACACACAAACUUGGAUGCUCCUUAGAGAAACCAUUCAUAGAACAAGAAAAGACUCAUGAAUACUACAAAUAAAAUUACAGAAAAAAAAUAGAAGGAUUAAAAGAUAAAGUUGAGGAAAUGUAUCAGAAAGUAAAACAAAGACAAAAACUUCAUAAUUAGGAAAGAUGAAACAAUUAGAUGCAAAAUUACAUACAAAUCUAAGAUAUUCAACUAAAUAAAGAAUGAUAUCAGCUAAACAAGAAUUCCAAAAAGAGAAAACAGAGAAACUAAUUCAAGACAGAAUCCCAGACCUGGCACACAUUAAUCUUCACAUUACAAGGCUUCAUGAGUGCAGGACCUAGCGAGUAAAAAUGUGGGCACACUGGGUUUCAGAACUCCAGCAUACAUGGGAGAUCCCAAAAGCUUCCAGACAGAACAAAACAGGACAGGCACCCGGCUUUUUAAAAAUUUGCUUAUGUUUGCAAUAUACAAUGUUUAUAUUCAUUUUUGGGAAAGACUUCUGAACAGCAGACAUGGAACCUGUGAAACAAAAAGACCAAGGCUGUUGUACACAGUGACACAAGCCUGUAAUUCCAGCAUCUGGGAGGCUGGGGCAGGAGGAUCACAAGUUCAAGCCUAGCCUGGAGAAUUUUGUGACUUAGUGAGACUCUGUCUCAAAAAAGUAAAGAAAGAAAGAAAGAAAGAAAGAAAGAAAGAAAGAAAGAAAGAAAGAAAGAAGAAAGAAAGAAGAAAGAAAGAAAGAAAGAAAGAAAGAAAGAAAGAAAGAAAGAAAGAAAGAAAGAAAGAAGGGGCUGCUGGUAUAGUUAAGUAUGAAGGCCCUAGGUUUAAUCCCCAGAAUUGAAAAAAAUCCAAGGCCUUGAAAAAAAAAAAAGGUUUAUAACCUAGAGCUCCCUAUUCUCCCCAACCAUGAAGCUAGAAUAAAGGCAUUUUUCAGACGUACAUUGUCUCAGAAAACUCAUUUCCUGUUCACCCAUUCUUCAGAUGUUCUGAAAGAUGUGCACCUGCAAAAAAAGGGGGAAACACAGAAAAGAUUGCUGGAGGUCCUGUAAGGAGGAGGUAAAGGCCACCCCUGAGCUGAAGUGAAGUUUCAGAAUGAUAGCUACGCAACCACGCAGGGACAAAGUUGUCCCUAGCACAGCUGGAGCACUGAGCAACUCAGAAUUACUGGCUAGAUAGAGAAACAAAUAAACAAUAACAAUAAUAACAGGGCUAGGGUUAGAGUAGAGCGCUUGCCUAAUACGCACAAGGCCCUUGGCUCUUUUCCCAACACCAAAACAAAACAACCCUCCCCCAGAAACAACAACAGGACAAUUCUUAAUCCCAAGAAGUACAAUGAUUAUGGAAAGAAAAAAUAAUCAUAAUGUGCUACAUGUCUCUUCUGUGAACAAUGGUUACAUAAAUCAUGUAAACACUGAGCACUGACUGGUAAAAAUUGUUACAUGACUGGAAGGUAUAAUAGUGAGAGCUUAAAAUCUCAUGUUUCAUAAUAAGAGAUCUACAGAAGGAAAACUCAAGAACUGGCACAUAAGCUCAAUGUAUGAAACUAAGAUGACAAAAAGCAUAAGGAACAGCUAAGAAAGUUUGUGACUGCUUCUCAGGCGCCAUUGGCAACUGAGGCAUUGAACCAAGGGCCUCGGGCAUGUUAAGCACAUGCUACUGUCAUUCCUUUAGAAAUAGUUCGCCAAUUAAAAGUAGCCCAGGUCCUUUUUGCCUCAAACAAAGAAUUGGAUGAGAUAAGCCAAAAACAGUACCAAAAGUUUAUUUGAAAAGUGAAGGUUAAAGAGAUAAGGGAAAAACUGGCUCUGCAGAGCAAUCUUGGGCUGAAUGAGAGGGGAAAAGAUAAAAGCAAAAAUAAAAGUGCACUCUGCAUGGAAGAUGCCCAGUGGUCUACUAUGAGGAGUCACAAUUGCAGGCUCCUUAUGGCAGCUGUGCCCUUAGAGCCAUUUACAUCUCACGGGAACCGGAGAGAAGCCCCACAAACCCUGGGAAUUAUGUGGCGCUGUCCUGAGAUCUUGUAAUUGACAGGUCCCAUUCAUUUCCCAGCCAGCUUUGCCACGCCCUACCUCCUAUAUCACUACCACUCUGUUUCUAUUUUUUCC
rnacentral:lncRNA from 1 species